rnacentral:rRNA from 1 species
CCUACGGGAGGCAGCAGUGGGGAAUAUUGCACAAUGGGCGCAAGCCUGAUGCAGCGACGCCGCGUGCGGGAUGACGGCCUUCGGGUUGUAAACCGCUUUUGACUGGGAGCAAGCCCUUCGGGGUGAGUGUACCUUUCGAAUAAGCACCGGCUAACUACGUGCCAGCAGCCGCGGUAAUACGUAGGGUGCAAGCGUUAUCCGGAAUUAUUGGGCGUAAAGGGCUCGUAGGCGGUUCGUCGCGUCCGGUGUGAAAGUCCAUCGCUUAACGGUGGAUCCGCGCCGGGUACGGGCGGGCUUGAGUGCGGUAGGGGAGACUGGAAUUCCCGGUGUAACGGUGGAAUGUGUAGAUAUCGGGAAGAACACCAAUGGCGAAGGCAGGUCUCUGGGCCGUCACUGACGCUGAGGAGCGAAAGCGUGGGGAGCGAACAGGAUUAGAUACCCUGGUAGUCCACGCCGUAAACGGUGGAUGCUGGAUGUGGGGACCAUUCCACGGUCUCCGUGUCGGAGCCAACGCGUUAAGCAUCCCGCCUGGGGAGUACGGCCGCAAGGCUAAAACUCAAAGAAAUUGACGGGGGCCCGCACAAGCGGCGGAGCAUGCGGAUUAAUUCGAUGCAACGCGAAGAACCUUACCUGGGCUUGACAUGUUCCCGGCAGCCGUAGAGAUACGGUCUCCCUUCGGGGCGGGUUCACAGGUGGUGCAUGGUCGUCGUCAGCUCGUGUCGUGAGAUGUUGGGUUAAGUCCCGCAACGAGCGCAACCCUCGCCCUGUGUUGCCAGCACGUCGUGGUGGGAACUCACGGGGGACCGCCGGGGUCAACUCGGAGGAAGGUGGGGAUGACGUCAGAUCAUCAUGCCCCUUACGUCCAGGGCUUCACGCAUGCUACAAUGGCCGGUACAACGGGAUGCGACACCGCGAGGUGGAGCGGAUCCCUUAAAACCGGUCUCAGUUCGGAUUGGAGUCUGCAACCCGACUCCAUGAAGGCGGAGUCGCUAGUAAUCGCGGAUCAGCAACGCCGCGGUGAAUGCGUUCCCGGGCCUUGUACACACCGCCCGUCAAGUCAUGAAAGUGGGUAGCACCCGAAGCCGGUGGCCCAACCUUUUGGGGGGAGCCGUCUAAGGUGAGACUCGUGAUUGGGACUAAGUCGUAACAAGGUAGCCGUACCGGAAGGUGCGGCUG